rnacentral:rRNA from 1 species
UAAGCGGAGGAAAAGAACUAACGAGGAUUCCCUCAGUAGCGGCGAGCGAACAGGGAGAAGCCCAGCUUGAAAAUCGCAGCGUUCCGCGAUGCGAGUUGUAGUCUGGAGAAGUGUCCUCUGCAGCGGACCCGGUCUAAGUCCUCUGGAAAGGGGCGUCAGAGAGGGUGAGAACCCCGUCGGGCCGGGACCCUGCUGCUCCACGAGGCACUGUCGACGAGUCGGGCUGUUUGGGAAUGCAGCCCUAAGUGGGAGGUAAAUUCCUUCCAAGGCUAAAUACGGGCGGGAGACCGAUAGCGAACAAGUACCGCGAGGGAAAGAUGAAAAGGACUUUGAAAAGAGAGUUAAAAAGUGCUUGAAAUUGCUGGGAGGGAAGCGAAUGGAGGCCUCGUGUGCGCCCCGGUCGGAUGCGGAACGGCGAGAGCUGGUCCGCCGCUCGACNCGGGGUGCUGGUCGGCGUGGGCUUCCUCUGGCGGGAGAAAAGUCGGCCUUUUGUGGCCGGCCGAUGCCGUCGAGGAAGCUGAGGAUCCCAAUUGCGCGCUCUUCGGGGCGAGUCUUUUUUUUUUGAAAAAAAAAACAUCCNGCGAGCUCGGGACGUCGGCGUAGUGGGCUUUUCAUCCGACCCGUCUUGACACAUGGACCAAGGAGUCUAACAUGCACGCGAGUCGGUGGGCGGCAAACCCACGCGAGGCGAAAAUAACUUGAGAGGAGUGAUCUUCCCCUUUGCCCCCCUUAACCGGGGGGCGAGCAGAGGGAGUGCAACAUCGACCGACCAUGAUCUUCUGUGAAAGGUUCGAGUGAGAGCGUGCCUGUUGGGACCCGAAAGAUGGUGAACUAUGCCUGAGCAGGGCGAAGCCAGAGGAAACUCUGGUGGAGGCUCGUAGCGAUACUGACGUGCAAAUCGUUCGUCAGACUCGGGUAUAGGGGCGAAAGACUAAUCGAACCAUCUAGUAGCUGGUUCCCUCCGAAGUUUCCCUCAGGAUAGCCGGAGCAGUCGAGGAGUUUCGUC